rnacentral:rRNA from 1 species
GACGAACGCUGGCGGCGUGCCUAAUACAUGCAAGUCGAACGCAGUGGGGACGGGUGAGUAACACGUGGGUAACCUCCCAUCAGAGGGGAUAACACUUGGAAACAGGUGCUAAACCGAUACUGAUGGAUGAACCCGCGGUGCAUUAGCUAGUUGGUGCGGGAACGGCUCACCAAGGCCACGAUGCAUAGCCUACCGGAGACGGUGAUCGGCCCAACUGGGACUGGGAAACGGCCCAGCCUCCUACGGGAGGCAGCAUUAGGGAAUCUUCGGCAAUGGACGAAAGUCUGACCGAGCAACGCCGCGUGAGUGAAGAAGUUUGUCGGAUCGUAAAACUCUGUUGUUAGAGAAGCGGUAUCUAACCAGAAAGCCACGGCUAACUACGUGCCAGCAGCCGCGGUAAUUC